CCUGGGCAAGACCAACCAACCACAGGGGAUAGACCCCCGGCUUUAAUCUUCAAAGCUAGCUCGGACAACAUCAUUUUUAGCUUCCCCUGUGGUCUCCAAAGUAUCUGACUGAGGCCACAGCAAUCCCUCCACCCAGGCAAGCCUGAGCUCUACAAAGGCCCAAAGCAACCUUUCUAAUGUUCUCUCUGGAACUGUAAGCAAAAGCCCAAUGGCCCACUGUACCACAAGCGAUGAGGGGACAUCGUCCUCUCAUGGACCUGCUGCAACUCAGAAAUACCUUCACACCACAGCUCCUGCCUCUCCACCAGAGCUAUCAUCUGUCUCAGGAACAGUCUCCACCCGCAUCUUCGUCCCACUGGCCAAAGAGUCUGUUGCAGAUCAGUGGGUCUCACCUCCAUCUGUGGCACCAACAUUCCAGCACGCAGCUUCCGGAAUGGCUGCGGUAAAGGAGGACUCACAUCGCUUCUCCUAUGCUUUGCCCUGGACUUGACAGCCAUCACUUCUGCUACAGUCCAUGGCCCAGUCCUGUGUCCCUGCCUAACAGGGAGGGUGCUGGAAAAUGCAUGAGCUCACAUAGAUAGCCCAGGCACGACAUAUAUCUCUUUCCAUGCAGCCCAUAGGACUUUUUAUUCAUCUUAAAGGGUCAUACUCACAUAGACCAACUCAAGGAAAGAAGAGAUCUCAUACUUAGAAAAGAGACAUCCACAGAGAACACUGUAAAACACUAGAACAAAAAUAUAUUUAAAAGGGGCAAUGUUAAAUGGGCAACGUUUGCCAUAAUCUUCAGUAGUCAGUCAAUUGAUUAAAGAGAACUUGUGAAGCGUUUUCAGUGUCUCAGAAAAAAUAAAUUUCCCAUGGUCGGCUUCCA
rnacentral:lncRNA from 1 species